rnacentral:rRNA from 1 species
GGAGGAAAGCAGGGGAUCGCAAGACCUUGCGCUUUUGGAGCGGCCGAUGCCUGAUUAGCUUGUUGGUGAGGUAAAAGCUCACCAAGGCUUCGAUCAGUAGCUGGUCUGAGAGGACGACCAGCCACACUGGGACUGAGACACGGCCCAGACUCCUACGGGAGGCAGCAGUGGGGAAUUUUGGACAAUGGGGGCAACCCUGAUCCAGCCAUGCCGCGUGAGUGAAGAAGGCCUUCGGGUUGUAAAGCUCUUUCAGCCGGAACGAAACGGUUACGGUUAAUACCCGUGACUACUGACGGUACCGGAAGAAGAAGCACCGGCUAACUACGUGCCAGCAGCCGCGGUAAUACGUAGGGUGCGAGCGUUAAUCGGAAUUACUGGGCGUAAAGCGUGCGCAGGUGGUUUUGUAAGUCAGAUGUGAAAUCCCCGGGCUUAACCUGGGAACUGCGUUUGAAACUACAAGGCUAG